CGGUUUCUUGUCUUGUCCCGUAUAAAUAAUCCUCGCCCCCACAUGCUGCAGUCGGGAUUUGAGCUCCGAAGUUGGCGGCAGUGCGCCUGGCAGCGGCAUCCCAGCUGCAGCUCAGGCUUCUCACAAGCUGAGUUACCGACAACCCUAAUGAAAAGUGGUAGAGCUGCUCGCCUUGCCGGGGGAGUUGCUUGGCCUUCAGUGCUGCCAGCGAGGACAAUACUGGCACGGGGAGCAGUGUGUAAAGCAGCCAGCAGGAAGGCUGGAAUCGGAUUUCCAGGAGAGAGUGACUGCAAAAAGAGAGGCAGAACGGAGAGGGGGCAUGGCGGCUGGCAGGGGGUGGCUGCCGGCUGCGCUGAGUGGGGGCACAGAAGCUCCUCUCAAACCCAGGAAAGCUGUUAGAUUUCCGAAAGAUAUAAUCUCGCAAUUAAGACAUGAUCUUGAGCCACAAUAACCAUGAAUUCAUACAGAGCUGCUGCCUACAUGGUAUUUUUCCACACAGUAAUUACUUUUCUGUAAUAAUUGUAAUAAUUCUGCCAGGGGUAGGGAAACCACUGCUGUCAUUGCUGUAUAGCAGAGAUGCAGUGAGGAAGAUUUUAGGACUUGCCCACUCAGAAGCCCUAGGAGACUGUACUGAACUCUCUCCAGGGCACUCACUUUCCCCAUCAAUGAAAGACAGACAAAUUUGCCACCAAAACCAAGACACUGGGGGUAUUCAGGCACCUUGCAAACCCCAAGCCCACUGCCUGGCUGCAGGGAAUCAUUGACCCAUCAUAAGAUGCCUUUUAGGAUCCAUUUUUUCUAUUUCUCAUUCUUUUAAAUAUUAAAAAAUACCUUCCAAAUAAAUUCCAAGGCCAAAAAAAAAAAAAAAAAUCCCACCACACCACCAAAACAAAAGCAAGAGACCAGCAUGUCAGAAGGCCUCCCGAGAAAAAAGAAGCAAAAGAGAUUUAAGUAUCAGAAGUCAGCAACUACAACAGGAUGAGGGUCUGCUACAAAUAUUUUUAAUGAUAUGCUUUGUCCCUUGCUCUUGAUGAGCAACGUGAGUGGCAAAUUGUCCAUGGCCUCAGGGCACAACCCAGAAUCCCAGGGUUUUUAUUAAACUAAAGACAUUUGUUUUAUUGUUUCUGUCUUGGAGCAGAUGACUGAAAUGCUUGCAGGGCGAUAAACCAAGAGGGAUGACAGCACAGCAGCAAGUAGUCUCCAUCCUGCUCAGCCUUUGGAAAAUCUUUUUUUUUUUUUUUUUUUUUUUUUCUUUCCACUUGUAGACAUCUGAAUGUGUCAUCAGCCACUUAGAAAUUCCACUCUCAAAGUUCAAAAGUCAACCACUUCCCAUUUAAAAUUUAACUCAGUUAUAGACAAUAUUUGUGAAUAAAA